CAGAUAAUGAUUGGGAUUGUAAAUGCUGUACUGGGGGGUAUAAUGUAUGCGCAUGGACACACGGCCAGCACAAUAUUCGGCUGGACCAGCGCACUGUUCAUUAUUUCCGGAGCUCUCUCUGUUGCUGCAUGCAAAGCUGGAAACGUAUGUCUUGUGAGGGCGUCUUCAUGCAUGAACACCAUCAGUUACAUACUGGCAACAACUGCAAUUGCCUACUUAAUAUAUAUUGUUUCUGAUGACCCGAUCCCAUAUUGCAGAUCUGAAUCUUCACCCGAAUGCCAGAAUGAAAUCAUUUUGAAGAAGACUCUAAGAGGGAUCGAGAUUCUGAUGCUUAUUUUACACAUUAUGGAGCUUUUCCUUCUCCUAGCCACUUAUAAGUCCUGUGUCGGGACAGCUUUGUUAUACUGGUAUGCUGUGUGUGUGUCUGUCUGUCCUGCUAGGGUUUCUGCCUGUCCUGCUUGGGUUUCUGCCUGUCCUGCUAGGG